rnacentral:rRNA from 1 species
CCUACGGGCGGCAGCAGUAGGGAAUAUUGCUCAAUGGGGGAAACCCUGAAGCAGCAACGCCGCGUGGAGGAUGAAGGUUUUCGGAUCGUAAACCUCUUUUGUUAGAGAAGAUCAUGACGGUAUGUAACUAAUAAGCACUGGCCAAUACCGGGUCAGCAGCCGCGGUAAUACGGAGGGUGCAAGCGUUACACGGAAUCAAUGGGCGAAAAGGGCGCGUAGGCGGGUUAGCAAGUCAGAUGUGAAAUCCUAUGGCUGAACCGUAGAGCGGCAUUUGAAACUGUUAUUCUAGAGUAUGGUAGAGGUAGGUGGAAUUCUAGGUGUAGGGGUAAAAUGCGUAGAGAUCAAGAGGAAUACUCGUGGCGAAGGCGACCUGCUGGAACGUAACUGACGCUGAUGCGCGAAAGCGUGGGGAGCAAACAGGAUUAGAUACCCUUGUAGUC